CGGAAACACUUUAGGAAGUAAAUCCAGGCCAAUAGAUGUAUUCAAUCCACUAAUACCAAACAUGUGCAUUUAACAUAAAAACAUAUCUAUAUUUAGGUUUAUUUGAACUGUGGUUAGCACCAUUUUAAAUUGCCAUAGUAACGACUGACGCCAGUGCGUCACUAUCAAGAAUCAUCAAAUUGUCUGUGGUAUUGAGUUUUGGCGUGUAGAGUGAAUCGAAGAGAGUGAGAUUACAAGUAGUAAUUCAAACAUCAACUGUAUAGCGCCAGGCUGUAUGAACUGGCUCCCCAAAAAAUCCUCGGCAAACUACCAUCAGCUGCCCAAGGACCCACAACUUUUGAAGAAGUGGCCUGAAAAGGAAGGACGUGUCAGAUCGAGCUACCAAGAUCUGCAGAGAGCACUUCGUGGAGGCAGACUUCGUGAUGAAGGGCACUUUCGAGGGCUAUGGUGUAGCUGUUACUGACCGACUAUCAUCAACAUCGCAAAGCAAAAGCGACUGGGCGAAGGAGGCGACGCGAGUCAAUGCAAUGGAGCCUAAGGAUGACGUCUUAAUCCCUGGAAAGGUUUUCAUCCUGGAGGAGACUGUGCAGGAGGCAUAGGAAAGAACGGUUAGUACAGCAUGCCAAACGGACUCCUGGGUCCCAGAGUGUUCCUGUGCUACGGUGGAGAAGAGGUCCACCGGGCCCAUCACUAAAGAGCUCUGGGCCCAGCUAGAUUGUGUUCACGACCAUCAGUGUACAACCGAGUCCUGCCCCUGUUUGCCACAGAUGGAGAGUGAGAUCAGUGAAGACCAUACCUCGCUGUAUGAACCUGAGAGUUCAGAGCCACAAUCAUCACAGUGCGAGCCAAGAUAUUCUAUCGAUCACUUUGGGGGAGUGGGCUGGUGUUCCGAAAAUGGAGAAGGAGCAGGCCAUUCAACCCGCGAAUUCAAAGAUCCACCCAUCCAUCGGAGUGGAAUUGUUUUUCCACAGAUUUUUUUUUUACCCAUUCAACGGAUAUGCUACCUUGUCCUGGUCCUGCUGUUUUGACUCUCUCUCAACAUAUGAAUGUUCAGCUAUGAAAAGCCAACAGACAUUUGCUCCUGAGGUGUUGAACUGUUGCACCCUCUAUAACUACUGUGGUUAUUAUUUUGAUGUAAAAAGGGCUUUUGUAAAAUACAUUUGAUUGUUUGCUGUGCUGGAUGCUGUGUAUUCACUAACUGUCUGAGUGAUGGGACAUUUAUAUAGUAUCUGUAACAUAUUUUGGUGUGUAUUUAAUCUGCAUCUUAACUUCUUAAUGUGUCAAUCAGCAGUAUAAACAAUAAGUGUCUUCCUGCUCCUCUUUCAGUAAAAAGCUGAGGAAUGGGGCUGAAGAAAUGUAACCACUCUCAAAUUCAUAGAGCUAUAGAGGUAAGGACUGACCAUCCAUUAUAUCAAAAUUGUAAUCCUGUUUCUAUGAUGUUUCCACACUGAUGCACCCAGUUCGCAUUGGAUAAAGGCGUCUGCUAAAUGACUGU